CAUGUGAUAUAGAUAUACACAUGUUAUCUUUUGAUUCAAUGACAUUGUUGCAUUGUUUCUUAAAAAUCUAGAGUUUCAUGCUAUAAAAUUCCCUGUGAAAUAGAAAAGGUAGUUAGAGCUUUGGAUACUGUAUGUAGCUGUAUUAGUUAGGAUUCUCUAGAAUCUGGAACUGAUAGAAUGACUAUAUUUCUGUAUGUAAGUCUAUAUGAAUAUCCAUGCAUAUUAAUAUUAAAAGGGGAUUUGUUAGAGUGGCUUAUAGGCUGUAGUCUGGCUAGUCCAACAGUGGCUGUUUCUCCAUGGAAAGAGCAAAAAUAUAACAGGUGUUCAGGCCACGAGGCUGAAUAGCUGAACUGGUUUUUGGUCUGUGUUAAAAUCCUGAAGAAGUCAAUUCUAAUAGCAGUGAAGGAAUGCCUCCGCAGCAAAGAGGUGAACUUGCCACCUAGAGUGAAGGCAAGCAGGCAAAGAGCAAAAGCUUCCUUCUUCCUUCUUCCUCUUAUGGCGACUGCCACCAAAAGGUGUGGCCCAGAUUUUGUGUCUUUCAACCUCAGAUGGUCCAGUCAGGAUAACCCCCCAUAGCCAAGCCCAGCUGCUUGGGUUUUAGUGGAUUCUAAAUGUAGUCAAUUUGAUGACCAAAAUUAGCUACCAUAGUAGCUAAUUUUGUAAACAUUUUAAUGCUUUAAUUUAUGGUCUUUUCUUUCAAGAUGCCUUGAGAAUUCCUUCAUCUUCAUGUUUGUCUCACUAUCUGCGUAUUUCAAACAUGGGGGCUGGGCAUGCCUGCUGUGGGUACACAUGUAAAGGCUACAGGUAAGCUUCCAAUUUUGUUCCUCAUGUGCCAUCCACCUCGUUCAUUUUGAGACAGUCUGUCAUUGGCCUGGAGCUUGCCGGUGAGGCUAGACAGUCUGUUCAGUGAGCCCCAGGGCUCCGUCUGCUUCUGCCUCUCCAGUGCCAGGAUUAAGAGUGUGUCACCAAGUUUGGCUUUGUUACACGGUGUUUGGGAUGUAAACUCAGGUCCUCACGCUUUCACAGUACGCACUUUACUGACUGAACCACAUCCUUAGCUCCUCGGUGCAUAUGUUUUUCAAUGAAAAGCUUAUUCAUCUUAUUCUAAGAAACAGCAAGCUUGUCCAUGUGUGGUGCGCCUGUCCACGUGUCCUCAACGCCAUGCACAGGGCACAGCAGUGGAUCCUGUUGAGGAAGGUUCUGUGUUAACAGGGAAGUGAGAGGCUGAAAUGGGGGCAGCAGAGUAGCUUACAGAGCUGCCGGGCUGAUCCUGGGGGACGAGGGUCAGCGUCCUGUGUGCUCACAGACACACUGUCUCCACCACUUCAGUCAGCCAUCCAUUCUGCCUCUGCUGGCAUUUUCCGUCAUACCACUGCAAUGAGAACAGAUCCCAAGGCGACCACAAUGAUGUACCUGUGGAUUGAGUUCAGGCCAUUAAAUCGCCAUCAUGCGACCUAUCUAAUGUCAUUAUAGUCUAGCUUCAGCAAAGCAGAGAAAUAGCAGGUGGGAAAAUGGCACAAUUACCAAUGUGCAUGUCCUCAGACUUUGAGAGAGCCCUGAAGGAAGAAGUCUGUAAGAGAUGGUAAACACGCACAAGAGCGCGCGCGCGCGCGCGCACACACACACACACACACACACACACACACACACACACACACAAUUGCACACCAAGAGCCACCAUUGGUGAGGAACAUUGCAAACUAUACAGAGAAGGGAAUUAUGGAACUGAGGUUUCAAUUGGAGGAGAGCUUGGUGCACUCUCUGUAAGAUUAUCUACAGCCAAGACUCUUUUUUACCCCCUCUGGAGGCUUGUGGAAGAAAUUUUGCAAACCCCAAAAGGGAAGUGUUGGAAAUCACACUGAUCACACUGUGGAAGAUAGUCUGUGACUUAUACUUCUUGUAUUUCAUUAGGAAUUAAAAAGAAGACAAAGAAUCCAAUUGGACCACAAUUUGGGCUACAGCACAUAGUCAAUAAAGCAUAAGAGGUCUAUGCAUAGGUUUAUUUUUGCAGUACUGAGCAUUGCAUCCAGGGCCUCUCCCAUACUCUACCAUUGAAUUAUCGCUACAGCUCCUUUUAACUUUUUAUUUUGAGACAAGGUUUCACUAAGUUACCUAUGGUGGCCUCAUACUCAUUCUAUAGCUCAGUCUGACUUUCAAUUUGCAAUCCCCCUGCUUCUGUUUCCCCCUCAGCUGUAAUUACAGGUCUGUGUCACAAGGCUCAAGUCCAUAUUUGACUUACUGAGUUCACCAUGUCUUGGAUGUGCUCAGUGAUUAGUAUUGAUAUUCUUCUAAUAGUUUGUUUUGGAAUAUUUUCCCUAAAAAGGUGCUUUAGGGAUUUUUAAAUAAUUUCUUACCUCUGCAGAUUUCCCAGGUAACAUGCUGCCUGAUUCAUUGUAUUGAUUGCAUUUUUUUUAGCAUUUAUGUAAUUUAUUUUUCUUUAAUUCAUUGGCAGAAUAAAUUGUAUUAGGUCUCACUUCUUAGAGGAAGACUUGUGCAAAAUGUCCACAUCUGGCUUCUCAUAAUUUUAUAUUAGUCACUCUUGUUAUCGACUCUUAAAAAUAGGCAUAGGGACUUUGGACAACCCUAUGCCUUACUAUUAUUUUUAAAAUGCCUCUCAUUUCCUCCUUAAUUAGCUGCAAUCAGGAAGACUAGUUGGUGGACACAUGGUGUUGUAGCUCUGUGAAAAGCUGCCUGAUGGCUAUAAACAUGGCCAUAUGUUCUCCCUGAAACGUGGCUGUGAUCACCUGCGACAGGGACAGCUGACAGAAGAGGCCCUGUCUCCUCCUCCUGUGGUACUUGAGAAACCUGAGGCGUACAUUGGCUCAGCGUUUUCCACUAACCGCUGCCGCUUCUGCUAAAUGGCUUUUGCAUGUUAGCCUCAGUUCUGCCCAGCGUAUACUUGAAGCGGCAGCCGUUUACAGAGCAGACUCAGUGCUUCUCCCUUUAACGGCACAACACUUUAAUUGGACGGCCUCCUUUGGAAGGCAGGCAGCACGCAGGGUGCACAGGUUUCUAAAACUAAGUCGUUAUCAAGGACGAGGACAAAACCAUCAAAAUUUCCACAGUGCAUGUACAAGAAUUUCUCAGCAAAGUUCAAUAGAUUUGCCCUGAACUGGUACAGCUUAUAAAACCCUUGAGCCUAAUUGCUUUCCUGCAUUUGGGCAAGAAAAAUAGCUGACUCGCACCAGGGUAGAAAGAAGAGGUUGGGAAGAAAGUGUCUUCUUAAGAAAAGCUUCCAGUGAAAAUUUCAAUCAAUAUUUUUAAUCCCACAAGAUGAGAUAAAAUAUGAUACUGUGUUCUGGCAAUGAGAGAUUGGGGACAGGAGAGCAGUUUCAGGAGCCACGCUGAUGAGGGAACAGAGUAACCACCAGCCCCAAGCAGGGCAUCUCGUGAGCUUCAUGGCAGGGCUGUGAGAUACCCGUAUGUGGCUUUCCUAUGCAAGUAGGUGAGAGAGGGCCAUGUAUGAGACACAUAAUGUACUCCCUGUCUCUCCAUUUAGCAUCACUUGACUGUUUAUUACAGUGACCGGAGGAAAACUGAAAGAAGGCACCGAUCCACUUUCACAUUUAAAAAUGCUUUGCAUUACUAAUUUUGGAAUCAGGUUUUCUUCGCUUGAUUCAUAUAAACGUAUGAGCAUAUAUGUAUAUACGCUGAGCAUCAUAUAUAGUAUCGAAGGCUUACUUUAUUGCUUUUUCAGUGUUUUGGAGGCUUUGUUAAAGCAGGUCUCUCACCCUUUACCCUUAGUUUUUGCUUUUUUUCCCUCCACCUUGUAUGUACCACACAGGCUAUUAAACAGAGAGCUGGCUGGUGAUUGAUCUCUUUAAUAAAAGCAACUUCUUUAGUAAGCAAAGAGUGAUAAAGAUAAACAAAUGUACUGGUUUGUCCAGCGCGUUGGAGAUUAUGGCAACACAGGGCACCAAGAAAGCCUAUUAACAGAUAACUCAGAUGAAACCCAUCAAUUCUGAUUUCAGUUAGUCGGGAACCAUCCGCUUUAAGUUAAUUUUAGCCAUGUUUUCUCUUCAUUUGUAAUACUUUGUAGGUUUUAACAGAAAAAUAUUUAAUAGUGUGCUGUGUAGUCCAUAGAUAAACGAUGGGGGCAAUUUCUCCACCUAACUGCUUGUCAAGCCCUUUAGCAAGGUACACGCCGACCGGUAGUUUAUCAUCUCGCUUUCUAGAUUGUUGUGGAAGAUCAUUGAGAGGCCCGAGACUCCCCGGAGGACUGUGCUCUAAUCCUGUCAUUUUUUAAAAUGCUGGAAAGUGUAAGGUUACAUGGGAAGAUGAUUUUACAUAAGGCUUUUCUUUAGCUCGUCACAAUAGCGCUUGCUUUCCAUGGUAACCACUGUUUCCAUGGCACAGGCUACAGCUCCUCCAGAGCUGCUGAGGCCCUUUCAGAAGAUGCUCACCCACCCACAUGUGUGAGAACACCCCCCCCCCGUCCUUCUCCCUCCCCACCACUCCCUUCUUCACUCCGCUCCCUCUCCCUUCUCUUCUUGUCUAACCUACCCCUCAGCAUGAAUUUCUAAAAGGCAUCCACUAAACACAGCAAAGCUCAUCUUUCAAAGGAAGUCUGCCUUCCUCCCCAUUAUUCCAUCAGAUAAAUAAUAACUGAUGUGGCUUUCUGGAAUGAUCUGGAAAUAUAACAAAAGCUGGUGCUGUCCUCAAUGACAUGGAGUAACGGGAUAAAAUCUUGAAGAGAAAAUUUGACAGGGGAAAACAUUCAGCUCUCCACCAGAUUUUCUAAAUUUAUUCCUAUUCCUUAAGCUGAGCUAAGUCUGUGGUGCUGCAUCCUGUUAAAUGCCAAGGCAUAUAAAAGAAAUUUACAGUUGUGAGGUAUUUGGAAUUCACACACCGAAACAGCAAAACUCCAUGACAUUCGACCCAUCAGAAAAAAAAUAAGAUAGCUGUGUGAAGCAACCAAGGAAGAGCUGAAGCCCGGAGGUUCCCCCCGGAGAGUCUGAGUAAUGAAGAUGAAAAUCACAGAUCAGAAGGAAUCUAAGGAAAUUUAUAAAAGUGCCCCGUGUUAAGUUGUACCUCAAGGCAAUGGCAUUAACAACCAUGUAGCAGUGGGAAGGCAUGAUCUGUAUAGGUUGAAAGAAGGGAGAAAAUUGUGAUGGAGGCAGAACCUGCAUGUGCCAAAGACAGAGGAAAAAAUUAACCUGAAUGUGAUAAGCGAAAUACGUGAAACCAACAUGUUCUAUGAUUUUACACACACAUGGAAUGUCCAGAGACUACAAGUGGGUGGCAUCACAAAGCAAGGUCCAAGGUGGAAAUUAAGGUGAACUGCAGACUGCCACAAGGAAUGGUCCUCUAUUUUUCUCUUAUUAUUCUAACUUUUGUGCAUGUAUUUAUAUGUAAGCAUGCUCAUGUGAGUGCAGGUGACUUUAUGGAGGCCAGUGGGGUCAUAUCCUCCCUGGAGAUGGAGUUAUCGAUGGCUGUAAGCUGUGUGACAUGGGUGCUGGGACCAUUUGGAUAUUCUGCAAGAGUUCUUAACUGCUACGCCAUCUCUCUAGCCCCCACUCAUUUAGAAAGAUUUACCUCUAUUUUUAUUUUAUUUUAUUUUAUUUUUGGUGUGUGUGUGUGUGUGUGUGUGUGUGUGUGUGUGUGUGUAUCUCCUCCCGUACACAUGUCACACAGGUGUGGAUACCCAAGAGGAUGGAAGGAGCCAUCAGAUCCCCUGGAGCUAAACUUAGACGUGGUUAGCAGUCACAUGACUUGGGUGCUGAGAACAGAACUCCGACCCUCUGGAGGGGCAAGUACUCUUAAGCAAUGAGCAAUUUCUCCAGCCUUUAAGAAGACAGUUUUGAGGUGAUAAAAUAUUCUAAAACUCGAUCAUGGUGAUGAUGGUUAUAUGACUUACAAGAAAAAAUCAGAGAAUUACUUUACCUAUUAAAAAUCAGUGAACGAUACACUGUUUAAGUAUGUGAAUUUUAUGGCAUAUGAAUCUUACCUUAAAAAUGUGAGACAGCAACAAAAAGCAAGAAGUAAGGGGUGGAAAGGAAAUCGGUAUGGCUGUGGAAGCUUUACCAGUGCCUUCAUGAAAUAAAUUGACCAAAAUCUUGUAGCUAGGAGGAAGUAGAAUAUGAAUUUUAGUAAGAGAGUAUUUGGCUCCAAGAUAACGCUGGAUAAAGGCAGUGCUAACAGUUGGAGGGCAAUAGUAGA